rnacentral:rRNA from 1 species
GGCAGCAGUGGGGAAUCUUCCGCAAUGGACGCAAGUCUGACGGAGCAACGCCGCGUGAGUGAUGAAGGUUUUCGGAUCGUAAAACUCUGUUGUUAGGGAAGAACAAGUAUCGGAGUCACUGCCGGUACCUUGACGGUACCUAACGAGAAAGCCACGGCUAACUACGUGCCAGCAGCCGCGGUAAUACGUAGGUGGCAAGCGUUGUCCGGAUUUAUUGGGCGUAAAGCGCGCGCAGGCGGUCUUUUAAGUCUGAUGUGAAAUCUUACAGCUUAACUGUAAGCGGUCAUUGGAAACUGGGAGACUUGAGUGCAGAAGAGGAGAGUGGAAUUCCAUGUGUAGCGGUGAAAUGCGUAGAGAUAUGGAGGAACACCAGUGGCGAAGGCGACUCUCUGGUCUGUAACUGACGCUGAGGCGCGAAAGCGUGGGGAUCAAACAGGAUUAGAUACCCUGGUAGUCCACGCCGUAAACGAUGAGUGCUAAGUGU